UGUCUCAGGCCAGUAUGGUGCGUGUGUUCCUUCUAGUUGUGGCACUGAGCCAUACUGCUUUUGCAUUCUCGCUGAUGAAAAGAUCGAGUGACGUGGACAAUCAUCUUUUGGAACUGUUGAAACGCAUGGGAGUAAAUGAUGAAGCAUCCAAAGGUGAAAGAGAAGUGAAAAUCUCGGGCGUUAAUCUAGUUCAGAGUUCUGCUGUGGAAGGUUUCUCGGCAUGGAAAGUUGC